AAUAUAAGAAAACAAUUAAAUGGAAUUAUUCACAAAAAUUAAUUUUACGAAUUAAAAUAACUUACCUCCCCGGCAACGGCGCCAAAAACUUGUUGUGCAAAUUUUAUUGAACUCGCAAGUGCACGAAUCUAUUGUAGAAUAGAUUAAUGGAGACGAGUGUCGAUCCCACGAGGAGGUAGAUUUUAAUUAUAUGUAGAAUUAAUUUUGUAUGAGGGUGGUUGGAUUUUUGGUGAAAGUGACUUAGAUUAUCUUAAAAUUGGAAUUGAAAUGUCGAGAAUAAAUUGAAGAGAAAUCUAUUGAGAUGACGUACUUGGGUAUCUGGAUCCGUAUCAACAUGCAUUAUGGGCUAAAUAAUCCUUAUUAAUGCCAAUUAAAUCAUGAGGGGGGAAUCCACACCUCAUGAACCACGCUCUAAUCAAUAUGGUGCUAAGGGCUUAUCGUGCCAAAUAAUAAUAACCUUGUACUAGGGAGCCGGUGAAACCAGGGCGGUACUAGACAAGACUAUUAUUAUUUGUCGACGAGAAGUCAAAACAUCCACAAA
rnacentral:lncRNA from 1 species